UUUUUUUACACUGAGCUGUAUGCACUUCAAUCUGAGACAAGUGAAACCGAAAUGUUAUUUUUAUCCCGUCUUGUAGAUUUUAACUUAAGUUUUGUGGAAAGUUUUUGUAAGGUAAAUCAAGCUGAUGUGGUAGUAUGAUUUAUCAAGUUUAGUUGAGAAUCAGCAAACUCCUCCCAUGGUACCGCUACUACAAUGGACCUAUGGUCUAAAGAGAGAUUUAGUAACUGACACAGUAUUCUGUGAACAGGUUGAUGGCAAAGGAUUAUACUGCUCGCAUCUCUGAUGAUUGGCAGAAAACCUGGGAGAUGGUAUUCACUGGUGUUAGUUUAAUUUACUGGUGUUUAAUCUGGGUUAAUUUUUGUCAAAGUGUUGUUAUUGACUAAAUGUGGUAAGGUCAAUCAAUUAAACUGCUAAGACUCCUCAGUACUAGGUUCUUGCAAGAUCUGGAAAUCUUCCAUCCUGGACUGUAUGAAGGAAGUGGCCCAGGAGACCCAACCCCUUAGCAGCUAGAUGUCAGCCGCAGGAUGUCUUCAGGAUUCUAUGGACCAGAGUUGACCAAGGAUGGAGACGUUGGAUCUGGGAUCAAGGGACCUGAGGUGAACUGAUUGACUUGCUUCUUGGAGCCUUCACUAUCACUGUGGACGACGCAUCUCAGGGCAGCGGUGUUUCUGGGUUCAUUACCAUCUGUUCACACAGCAGACCAAAGUCUAUUUGGAUGGACCCCACAGAGCUGAAGUCAAUGAUUAUGUUGGACCAGACCUUGCAAAGCGUGACACAUACAGGACGACUAAUGUGAUAAGUGAAGCAAACUCCCCAUGAAGAGCACCAUUAAAUCCAAAAGGCCUGAGACUACAGAACUUGGAGACGCUACACCCCGGUCAGGCCAAGAUAAUCCACACCUGCCUCCUCCCUACUGGGUGUCUUUAAGGUCCUAGCCCCAGAGGACCCAGGAUCACCACAGCUGACAGGAGUGUCCAUUUUAAUGCCUGUUCAGCUGUAUAUGUUUUGUUUGUUUUUUUUUAUUUAUUUUUUUUAUUAUUUAUUUUUUUUAUUAUUCUGAUAACAUUGACCAUUUACAAAUCAGCAUAACAUUUCAUUGGUAUUCUGAGAUGUUGGUCUUUAGUCACUGAUGACUUCAACUACACGCUUGAUCCCAGAUUGACUUCUUAAGUUUACAAUCAGUCAGAAUUUAAUGAGCUGGAUUUUCUUCACACUUCUAACUAACACUAACUACCACUAACUACCACUAUUACCCUACUACCCUCCUUCCUCUUUGCAUGCCAAGAAAUCCAGUCAUGAAUUCUUACUGGGUUGUACCAUGG